UGCCAGCAGCCGCGGUAAUACGGAGGGGGUUAGCGUUGUUCGGAAUUACUGGGCGUAAAGCGCACGUAGGCGGAUUAGUAAGUUAGGGGUGAAAUCCCGGGGCUCAACCCCGGAACUGCCUCUAAUACUGCUAGUCUUGAGUUCGAGAGAGGUGAGUGGAAUUCCGAGUGUAGAGGUGAAAUUCGUAGAUAUUCGGAGGAACACCAGUGGCGAAGGCGGCUCUCUGGACGAGUAUUGACGCUGAGGUACGAAAGCGUGGGGAGCAAACAGGAUUAGAUA
rnacentral:rRNA from 1 species